ACUCCUCCAGAUGGUCCAGCUGAGGCCCUCUUGGACAACACUUCCUCUCCUGCCCAUGGUGGGAGGUUGGGAAGGACAUUCCCCCAUUUCCAUUUGCUCUGCCAUUCAAAACCUUGUGAGGGCCCUCAGGGAAGAAUCCCUUUGCAGAUGAGGAAACUGAGGCCCCACGUGGUGAAGACAAUUUUUACCCGAAUCCACCCACAACAAGAGACCAUUUGGAUAAUGUACAUUAUGGGAAGAGAACAGAGUCUCAGUGAAGAUCAUGUUUCCCCAGCAACACAGGUGCCAGGAGUAGCUGGCUCUGGUCCCAGCCCAGACUCAGAAAUCCUGAGCCACCAGACCAUUUCUAGAUUAACAAUGACCCACUGGAAACCAGUGUCAGCAUAACAACAGUUACGAGAGCUAAACCUACAAAAUAGAAACACAAGUAAAACUUGUUCAAGUGGUUUGCAGUCAUUGAACAUAGAUCAGCUCCUAUGAAAACAAACUCCAUGGGUUUUCUUUGAUGGCAGUUCUGCUCUAAAGAUGGAUAAGGAAGGAGGUUCCAAGAUGGCCGAAUAGGAACAGCUCCAGUCUACAGCUCCCAGCAUGAGCAACGCAGAAGACAGGGGAUUUCUGCAUUUCCAAUUGAGAACACAGGAGCUAUGUGGAGAGUUGAUGGAGGGACAUUCCAGGCAGAGAGAACAGCAAACACAAAGGCCUUGAAGGGCUCAACACCACAUGGAAGCUGCCAAGGCUUGGGGCUCGCACCAUCUGAAGACAUGGUCUGAACUCUACGUUGGCCCUUUCAGCC